rnacentral:rRNA from 1 species
UACGGAAGGUCCGGGCGUUAUCCGGAUUUAUUGGGUUUAAAGGGAGCGCAGGCGGGAUGCUAAGCGUGACGUGAAAUGUGCCGGCUCAACCGGCGAGCUGCGUCGCGAACUGGCGUUCUUGAGUUCACGGGAUGCCGGCGGAAUUCGUGGUGUAGCGGUGAAAUGCUUAGAUAUCACGAGGAACUCCGAUUGCGAAGGCAGCCGGCAGCAGUAGGACUGACGCUCAUGCUCGAAGGUGCGGGUAUCGAAC